UUUAAGUUGGGAAAAUAUGAAUGCUUGAAAUUAAAUAUAUUUUUUACAACGCCCACUCGGGAAGUAGACUUUUCGAGCGCUGUAUGUCACCUUCAAAAUACACAAUAAUCGCAUACUUAACUAUAUGUGUUUCAUAAACGCACAUGUUCGGUUAUAGGUGUUUCAUAAACGCACAUGUUCGGUUAUAGACUACAUAAUUGUAUGUACUACUGACACGCCAUCUGUACUAAAAAAAAAUAAGUAAUCAAUCUUAACCCUCAUUUAUUAAAGUUACCACACUGAUUGUGUCAAACGCGAGUGUUACAUACAAAAAAACAAAAUUAAAAAUUGAAAUUAAAAUGAACGAGCAAUAAAAAUUUGUAUGCAAUAAAAUUUAAAUUUAAAAUAAGUAAAUAAAUCAUUUCUCAAAUUGAUAAAUUUCUCUCAAAGUCAACUUCCCGAGCGAUUGUUGUAAAAAGUAUUGAAUGCUACUUGCGGAAUAACUAGCAAAUAUGACAGUCGUGAUUACGGCAUUCGCUCUAAGGUUAUGAGACAUUCUUAUGAAGACUCGUGUGGUUGUCGCAACUCGCCUACGGCUCGUAGCGACAUCUACCACACUCGUCUUCAUAAGAAUGUCUCAUAACCUUACGCUCAUGCCGCAACACCACGACUGUCAGAUUAUUUGCUAGUUAUCCCACUUGUAGCAUUAAUAAC